CUGCCGCCGGCGACCGGCGCACGGGUAAGUAACACGUAUGCAACCUGGCCGUGACAGAUGGAUAACCGGGAGAAAUCCCGCCUAAUACAACAUAAUGCCGGGAGGGGACAUCCCCUGCCGGCCAAAGGGGGCGACCCCGGUCACGGAUGGGCAUGCGGCGCAUUAGGUAGUUGGUGGGGCAACGGCCCACCAAGCCGACGAUGCGUAGGGGUUCUGAGAGGAAGGUCCCCCACAUUGGAACUGAGACACGGUCCAAACUCCUACGGGAGGCAGCAG
rnacentral:rRNA from 1 species